rnacentral:rRNA from 1 species
UACGGAGGGGACUAGCGUUGUUCGGAAUUACUGGGCGUAAAGCGCACGUAGGCGGAUUUGUUAGUCAGGGGUGAAAUCCCGAGGCUCAACCUCGGAACUGCCUUUGAUACUGCAAAUCUCGAGUCCGGAAGAGGUGAGUGGAAUUCCCGGUGUAGUGGUGGAAUGCGUAGAUAUCGGGAGGAACACCAGUGGCGAAGGCGGUUGCCUGGAGCUUUGCUGACGCUGAGGCGCGAAAGCGUGGGGAACGAUCCGG